CGAGCCCUCGUUGAACCACGUCAUCAGCUAAUCCGAACCGUCCAUUUCCCGUCCGUUUCCCUGCAUUACUCGAUCGGGUCGUCGGAGGCGCGGGCGUCGCGACUCCUCGCCGCCGCUUCCAUCACGCCUGUCCCUCCCCCGCACGGCGCAACGCGCCCUUCUCCGCCAGACGGUGGCGGCGCGGCGCGAGGAGGCUGCCUCCUAGCAUUGGUGGCGGAGACCCCAAAGAGGAGAAGUCACCGGCGGUUUGAUGUCGGAGACAGAGAGCGGCGCAGCUGGAGCCACGACGCCAACGCGCCUCGUGGGCUGGGGCGCGGCGUCCGGCCUCUUUCCCCGGGCUCUCACGAACCCGUUCAAGCUGAGCGACUCAUCUCCCCCGCGUCGCAACUCGCAACUCGCAAGCACGGAGAAGCCGCCGCCCUCUGCCUGCCCCCGCCGCCCACGCAUUUCUCCGCCUACGAGCUGCGGCUCGCGUGCGCCUCUCCCCGCUAACCUCGGCUCUCCACCUGCCACGCUGCCCACCCCGCCCGGCCCUUCCCUUUGCCGCGGUCGCGGCCCCGCCGCCUCGUCCCCUACCUCGCACAGCACGGCGUGCGUACUCUCGCAUGGUCCCCGGGGGCGUCGUCGGGACGCCAAGUUCAGCCCCAGCCUGCCACCACUCAGACGCACACCACGUGUUUGACAUCAGGCCUCAAGGUCGACCACAACACCAAAUCCAUCAGCGUUUCAGCAGCAGGGUUGACAAAGCUCUCGACAUCAGCCGGCGAAUAAUGACGAGGCAAAUCUACUGAUCGCUCAGUUGGAAUUCCUCAACGAGGAAGGACCACAACCUGAGCUCUGAACACGGUUUCCCUGAAGAGAAGGAUUUCUAUUUGAUGGAGCCCAACCCCUUGGAAAAAGUGUCCUAGUCCAUCUAUCUCUGAAUCUUCUUUGUUGCAUCCUACUGGGCAACAAUCUGCAGACAUUAGAACUGCAGAUUUGCAUUUUGGUAGAAUAUAUCAGGAAAUACCAUAAGAAGGUAGUCAAGAUAGAUAUGCAGGUUUUGCAAUUUUGCAUCAAUUCAACUUUUACUUCCUAAUAAUUUCCUUAAUUGUUUUUUUUUGAAAGAACAACGCACAAGAUAGUGCGUGUUUCAUUGAUAUAGCAGAAAAUUAGGCAGGAAAAAGAAAAGAAAAGGAAAACAAAAAAGACUCGUCCGGUUGGAUUGGGACAUCAACGCGGGUCACCACUCAACUCAAAACCAGCACACCCGACCGGUUGGAUUGGGACGUUAACGCGGCCUCCCUACUCCAUUCACCACGGCGGCAUCCACCAACAAUCACGCUCAUCAAUUUGCCGAAACCUCCAAGCGUGGCCCUGUGUCGACACCGAUAGAAGCAGACUGCGCUGCACCGAGAAGGCCACCGCCAUGCGGAACCCUCCUCCUUAAUUGUUAGACUCUUAUAGUCAGGCUAAUAUAUAGAAAAAAUAGAAAAUAUAAGAUUAUGUUAUGUCCA